UUGGUUGCUACUAUAAUGAGGAGGGACAAUAGAGAUGGAGACCAUGUUGCGCAUGGGGGCUUGGGCCGCGGGCAUCGAUAUGACAUAGAAGUUGUGGCACGGAGUUAUGGGACUUUAAUUUAAAUAUCUUGCACUCUAUAUCAAUAUCUAUGUAAUAUGGGCAACAACAACUUUUAUGAUUUUGACACAGGACCUGACAAAGACAAGAACGAGUCAGUUGUGAACAUUGUUGGCGGUGAUUACUAGUUCCAACUUCUGUUUAUAGGAGAUUCAGGUGUUGGAAAGUCAUGUCUUCUCCUGAGAUUUGUCGCAGCGGAGGGAGUGGGGUGACAGACUCAUCAAUUGAAGAGCUAAACUUCAGCACUUAUCAUCAUCAACAAGCGACUUCAAUGCCCCCACAACCUCAACCACCAUUUGUGUUGGUUAAGAAAAGAUUUAGGAAAAAAUUCAGUCAAGAACAGAUGGACAAAAUGUUGGAAUUUGCAGCGAAAUUAGGGUGGAGAAUUCCAAGAGAAGAUGAUACUGAAAUAUAAAGAUUCUGCUCACAAGUUGGAGUGAAGAGACAAGUUUUUAAGGUUUGGAUGCAUAAUAAUAAGAAUCCUUCUGCUAAAAAGACCACAUUACAAAAAGAUAAUAAUUAAGGUUGAGUGAAAAAAAUGAAAUGAAAUUUCUUGGGAUUUGGUUCUUUGCUUAUGUAAUCUUACCAGGAAUCGUACGUAGCUAGCCAAUUUUUUUUCUAUGUAGCAUUAUUGUAACUAUGGUACCUCUUUAAUCAGAUUUUAUUGUUCUACUUGGAAGCUUUUA